UGCCGCGUGCGUGAAGAAGGCCUUCGGGUUGUAAAGCUCUUUUGUCAGGGAAGAAACGGUGGUUCCUAAUACGGACUGCUAAUGACGGUACCUGAAGAAUAAGCACCGGCUAACUACGUGCCAGCAGCCGCGGUAAUACGUAGGGUGCAAGCGUUAAUCGGAAUUACUGGGCGUAAAGCGUGCGCAGGCGGUUUUAUAAGUCUGAUGUGAAAUCCCCGGGCUCAACCUGGGAACUGCAUUGGAGACUGUAAGGCUAGAGUGUGUCAGAGGGGGGUAGAAUUCCACGUGUAGCAGUGAAAUGCGUAGAUAUGUGGAGGAAUACCGAUGGCGAAGGCAACCCCCUGGGACAACACUGACGCUCAUGCACGAAAGCGUGGGGAGCAAACAGGAUUAGAUACCCUGGUAGUCCACGCCCUAAACGAUGUCUACUAGUUGUCGGGUCUUAAUUGACUUGGUAACGCAGCUAACGCGUGAAGUAGACCGCCUGGGGAGUACGGUCGCAAGAUUAAAACUCAAAGGAAUUGACGGGGACCCGCACAAGCGGUGGAUGAUGUGGAUUAAUUCGAUGCAACGCGAAAAACCUUACCUACCCUUGACAUGUAAGGAAUCUCGAAGAGAU
rnacentral:rRNA from 1 species